CCAAUCAUAUUUAAUAUGAAGAAAAAAAAAUCCACAGUUUUGCAUGAAUUCGAAAUAUAUUUCUUUCAGGACGGGUAAUUUCCUUUCUAUAUGAUUUUUCUCGGGAAUUAUUCCUAAAUAUGUUUCACAAUUUGAAAAUGUAGCAAAUAAACCCUAAUAACUAACAAUUAAAAAUAAAAAAUGUAUAUAAAAAUAAACAAUGAAUAAAACUUUUUAAAGAACGACCGAGAAAC
rnacentral:lncRNA from 1 species